rnacentral:snoRNA from 1 species
AGGUCAUUUCAAAGAGGGCUUGUGGGGCUGUGAGACCAGGAGCUCUUAACGCUGUGACCGAAAAUUAAAGAUCUCCACAGACUGUCACAGUCACUCAACAGUGUGCUGUCUUUUCUGAGGAGAUACAAGA